rnacentral:rRNA from 1 species
GUAUGGGGAUCUGCCCGAUAGAGGGGGAUAACUACUGGAAACGGUGGCUAAUACCGCAUAAUGUCUACGGACCAAAGCAGGGGCUCUUCGGACCUUGCACUAUCGGAUGAACCCAUAUGGGAUUAGCUAGUAGGUGGGGUAAAGGCUCACCUAGGCGAUGAUCUCUAGCUGGUCUGAGAGGAUGAUCAGCCACACUGGGACUGAGACACGGCCCAG